rnacentral:tRNA from 1 species
GGUCCCGUAGCUCAGUUGGUUAGAGUAGGUGACUCAUAAUCACUUGGUCCUUGGUUCGAGCCCAAGCGGGACCA